AUUGAACGCUGGCGGCAGGCCUAACACAUGCAAGUCGAGCGGAUGAAGGGAGCUUGCUCCUGGAUUCAGCGGCGGACGGGUGAGUAAUGCCUAGGAAUCUGCCUGGUAGUGGGGGAUAACGUCCGGAAACGGGCGCUAAUACCGCAUACGUCCUGAGGGAGAAAGUGGGGGAUCUUCGGACCUCACGCUAUCAGGUGAGCCUAGGUCGGAUUAGCUAGUUGGUGGGGUAAAGGCCUACCAAGGCGACGAUCCGUAACUGGUCUGAGAGGAUGAUCAGUCACACUGGAACUGAGACACGGUCCAGACUCCUACGGGAGGCAGCAGUGGGGAAUAUUGGACAAUGGGCGAAAGCCUGAUCCAGCCAUGCCGCGUGUGUGAAGAAGGUCUUCGGAUUGUAAAGCACUUUAAGUUGGGAGGAAGGGCAGUAAGUUAAUACCUUGCUGCUUUGACGUUACCAACAGAAUAAGCACCGGCUAACUUCGUG
rnacentral:rRNA from 1 species